rnacentral:rRNA from 1 species
GAUCAUGGCUCAGGAUGAACGCUAGCUACGGGCUUAACACAUGCAAGUCGAGGGGCAGCGGGAUUGAAGCUUGCUUCAAUUGCCGGCGACCGGCGCACGGGUGAGUAACGCGUAUCCAACCUUCCGCUUACUCGGGGAUAGCCUUUCGAAAGAAGGAUUAAUACCCGAUGGUAUCUUAAGCACGCAUGAGAUUAAGAUUAAAGAUUUAUCGGUAAGCGAUGGGGAUGCGUUCCAUUAGG